CACGUUGUUGUAGCUGUUGUGUAUGGUGGGGGUCAGUAACAGUACUCAAUUAGCCUGGGGACGACAUUACUUACACGUUGUUGUUGCUGUUGUGUUUGGUUGAGGUCAGUAACAGUACUCAAUUAGCCUGGGGACGACAUUACUUACACGUUGUUGUAGCUGUUGUGUUUGGUUGAGGUCAGUAACAGUACUCAAUUAGCCUGGGGACGACAUUACUUACACGUUGUUGUAGCUGUUGUGUAUGGUGGGGGUCAGUAACAGUACUCAAUUAGCCUGGGGACGACAUUACUUACACGUUGUUGUUGCUGUUGUGUUUGGUUGAGGUCAGUAACAGUACUCAAUUAGCCUGGGGACGACAUUACUUACACGUUGUUGUAGCUGUUGUGUUUGGUUGAGGUCAGUAACAGUACUCAAUUAGCCUGGGGACGACAUUACUUACACGUUGUUGUAGCUGUUGUGUAUGGUGGGGGUCAGUAACAGUACUCAAUUAGCCUGGGGACGACAUUACUUACACGUUGUUGUAGCUGUUGUGUUUGGUUGAGGUCAGUAACAGUACUCAAUUAGCCUGGGGACGACAUUACUUACACGUUGUUGUAGCUGUUGUGUUUGGUUGAGGUCAGUAACAGUACUCAAUUAGCCUGGGGACGACAUUACUUACACGUUGUUGUUGCUGUUGUGUUUGGUUGAGGUCAGUAACAGUACUCAAUUAGCCUGGGGACGACAUUACUUACACGUUGUUGUAGCUGUUGUGUUUGGUUGAGGUCAGUAACAGUACUCAAUUAGCCUGGGGACGACAUUACUUACACGUUGUUGCUGUUGUGUUUGGUUGAGGUCAGUAACAGUACUCAAUUAGCCUGGGGACGACAUUACUUACACGUUGUUGUAGCUGUUGUGUUUGGUUGAGGUCAGUAACAGUACUCAAUUAGCCUGGGGACGACAUUACUUACACGUUGUUGUAGCUGUUGUGUUUGGUUGAGGUCAGUAACAGUACUCAAUUAGCCUGGGGACGACAUUACUUACACGUUGUUGUAGCUGUUGUGUAUGGUGGGGGUCAGUAACAGUACUCAAUUAGCCUGGGGACGACAUUACUUACACGUUGUUGUUGCUGUUGUGUUUGGUUGAGGUCAGUAACAGUACUCAAUUAGCCUGGGGACGACAUUACUUACACGUUGUUGUAGCUGUUGUGUUUGGUUGAGGUCAGUAACAGUACUCAAUUAGCCUGGGGACGACAUUACUUACACGUUGUUGUUGCUGUUGUGUUUGGUUGAGGUCAGUAACAGUACUCAAUUAGCCUGGGGACGACAUUACUUACACGUUGUUGUAGCUGUUGUGUUUGGUUGAGGUCAGUAACAGUACUCAAUUAGCCUGGGGACGACAUUACUUACACGUUGUUGUAGCUGUUGUGUUUG